GGGCGAAUGGUCUAGAGGUAUGAUAUUCGCUUUGCAUGAUUAGAGGAAUUGCUAAAUUAGGUAAUUAACUCUAAAGUUAAGUGCGAUUGCGAAGGGUCCGGGGUUCAAUUCCCCGUUCGUCCA